GUUUUUAGUGUUAAGUUUCUUCGAAACUUCACAGUAUUGUGAUGACUGGGGGGAAAUUCAAACGAAACAGUCAUUCAAUCAAUCAUUCAUUCAUUCAUUCAUUCAGUCAGUCAGUCAUACAGUAAACUUUCCGGGGGGUGUUUACGGUAUAUGUUCUUAGUGAACACACAGAAUAUGUUCUUAGAGAACAUACAGAAUAUGGCAACCGACAACGCAAGCAGAUCACAGCCGGAUAAAAACUCUACUAACACAACAGAUUAUUGGAUGAACAGUGUAAAUAUUACACUAUCUAUUCCUCCAGAUUUAACUCUUGAAAAGGGGAAACUCAAAUGGCUCAAUAACUUUGAGGAUCUAAAACUAUUUGUCGAAACAACUCUACAAAUAGGGGGAACUUGGUCAUCGCCGGGUGGUUAUCUCAAGGCAUUUAGCGAAGAUCCUGAAAGUGUUCUGAUUAGGUAUUAUACCGACA